GACGAACGCUGGCGGCGUGCUUAACACAUGCAAGUCGAACGGUGAACUCCGCUUGCGGGGGGAUCAGUGGCGGACGGGUGCGUAACACGUGGGCAACCUGCCCUCAGCUCUGGGAUAACUCCAAGAAAUUGGGGCUAAUACCGGAUAUGACCGCUGACCGCAUGGUCUGGUGGUGGAAAGAUUUAUCGGCUGGGGAUGGGCCCGCGGCCUAUCAGCUUGUUGGUGGGGUAGUGGCCUACCAAGGCGACGACGGGUAGCCGGCCUGAGAGGGUGACCGGCCACACUGGGACUGAGACACGGCCCAGACUCCUACGGGAGGCAGCAGUGGGGAAUAUUGCGCAAUGGGCGAAAGCCUGACGCAGCGACGCCGCGUGGGGGAUGACGGCCUUCGGGUUGUAAACCUCUUUCAGCAGGGACGAAGCGAAAGUGACGGUACCUGCAGAAGAAGCACCGGCCAACUACGUG
rnacentral:rRNA from 1 species